rnacentral:tRNA from 1 species
AACGGCAUGGCCGGGUACAGCAGGCUGCCGUCUUUCGAGCGGCCGACGUGGAUUGACCGGUAGAAGUCGUCCGACGUCCACUUGCCGAUGCC